AUUGCCCCCUUUCUUUAUUCCUAACACAUGCAAGUCGAACGGCAGCACAGUAAGAGCUUGCUCUUACGGGUGGCGAGUGGCGGACGGGUGAGGAAUACAUCGGAAUCUACUUUUUCGUGGGGGAUAACGUAGGGAAACUUACGCUAAUACCGCAUACGACCUACGGGUGAAAGCAGGGGAUCUUCGGACCUUGCGCGAUUGAAUGAGCCGAUGUCGGAUUAGCUAGUUGGCGGGGUAAAGGCCCACCAAGGCGACGAUCCGUAGCUGGUCUGAGAGGAUGAUCAGCCACACUGGAACUGAGACACGGUCCAGACUCCUACGGGAGGCAGCAGUGGGGAAUAUUGGACAAUGGGCGCAAGCCUGAUCCAGCCAUACCGCGUGGGUGAAGAAGGCCUUCGGGCUGUAAAGCCCUUUUGUUGGGAAAGAAAAGCAGCAGGUUAAUACCCCGCUGUUCUGACGGUACCCAAAGAAUAAGCACCGGCUAACUUCGUG
rnacentral:rRNA from 1 species